rnacentral:rRNA from 1 species
GUGAGGAAUUUUCCGCAAUGGGCGAAAGCCUGACGGAGCAAUGCCGCGUGAAGGAUGAAGGCCUAUGGGUUGUAAACUUCUUUUCUCAGAAAAGAAUUAUGACGGUAUCUGAGGAAUAAGCAUCGGCUAACUCUGUGCCAGCAGCCGCGGUAAGACAGAGGAUGCAAGCGUUAUCCGGAAUGAUUGGGCGUAAAGCGCCUGUAGGUUGUUUAAAAAGUAUUCUGUCAAAGAUUAGGGCUUAACCCUAGAUAGGCAGAAUAAACUUUUAAGCUAGAGUUUGGUAGAGGCAGAGGGAAUUCCCGGUGGAGCGGUGAAAUGCGUAGAUAUCGGGAGGAACACCAAAGGCGAAGGCACUCUGCUGGGCCAAUACUAACACUGAGAGACGAAAGCGAGGGGAGCAAAUGGGAUUAGAUACCCGAGUAGUCC